UACAGAGGGUGCGAGCGUUAAUCGGAGUGACUGGGCGUAAAGGGCGCGUAGGUGGUGAUAUAAGUUGACUGUGAAAUACCUGGGCUUAACCUAGGGGAGUCAGUCAAGACUGUGUGACUAGAGUAGUACAGAGGUAAGUGGAAUUUCCGGUGUAGCGGUGAAAUGCGUAGAUAUCGGAAGGAACACCAGUGGCGAAGGCGACUUUCUGGGUACAUACUGACACUGAGGCGCGAAAGCAUGGGUAGCAAACAGG
rnacentral:rRNA from 1 species